rnacentral:misc_RNA from 1 species
AAAGUCGUAACAAGGUUUCCGUAGGUGAACCUGCGGAAGGAUCAUUAAUGGAUGCAUAUAAGGAUGUGCUGGUUCGAAAUAAGAACAUUGUGCACUCCUUAAAUCUCCCCUUUUAUCCACCUGUGCACUCUAUGAUGGGUUGGGUCAACUCUGGCCUUUUUAUAUCCAUCGUAUUUUUAUAAUACACCAAAUAUAAUUAUGAUGUUAACAUUUACAAAUUGUAACAACUUUCAACAAUGGAUCUCUUGGUUCUC